AAUCUAUAGAAACGUUUUCCGUGCCGGACCGUGUCCAAGUCCCUUGGAACAGGGUAUCAAAGAGGGUGACAAUCCCGUACUUGACACGACUACCGGUGCUCUGUGAUACGUUUUCUACGAGUCGAGUUGUUUGGGAAUGCAGCUCAAAAUGGGUGGUGAGUUCCAUCUAAAGCUAAAUAUUGGCGUAAGACCGAUAGCGAACAAGUACCGUGAGGGAAAGAUGAAAAGCACUUUGGAAAGAGAGUUAAACAGUACGUGAAAUUGUUGAAAGGGAAACGAUUGAAAGUCAGUCGUGACCGAGAGGCUCAGCCGGCUCUGCCGGUGUAUUCCCCUCGGUCGGGUCAACAUCAGUUUUGUCCGGUGGAUAAGGGCGUUAGGAAGGUAGCUCCCACGGGAGUGUUAUAGCCUGACGUCGCAUACACUGGGUGAGCGUUGACCUCCGGGUCUA
rnacentral:rRNA from 1 species